CCUACGGGCGGCAGCAGUGGGGGAUAUUGCACAAUGGGGGGAACCCUGAUGCAGCGACGCCGCGUGGGUGAAGAAGCGCCUCGGCGCGUAAAGCCCUGUCAGCAGGGAAGAAAAUGACGGUACCUGAAGAAGAAGCCCCGGCUAACUACGUGCCAGCAGCCGCGGUAAUACGUAGGGGGCAAGCGUUAUCCGGAUUUACUGGGUGUAAAGGGGGCGCAGACGGCGAUGCAAGCCAGGAGUGAAAGCCCGGGGGCCAACCCCGGGACUGCUCUUGGAACUGCGUGGCUGGAGUGCAGGAGGGGCAGGCGGAAUUCCUGGUGUAGUGGUGAAAUGCGUAGAUAGCAGGAGGAACACCGGUGGCGAAGGCGGCCUGCUGGACUGCAACUGACGUUGAGGCCCGAAAGCGUGGGGAGCAAACAGGAUUAGAUACCCCAGUAGUC
rnacentral:rRNA from 1 species